UGUCUGGUGUGGAAGAAAAAACUAUGACAGAAGGAGUGCAGGGUGUUGGACACAUCAAGGAUAUCCGGAGACACGUCCUUGCAGAAUGGUUGGACUGUUUCCAAAGCAGAGGCUGUUUGUGUUUUUAUGCUUACAAGAUCCUGAACAAGCAACCCCAAACCCCAUGCUCUGGAGAAAUGACCUGGUAUUUGUUUGACACGGCCUUUA